CAUACCUAUUCGAAGGGAUAGGGUCGGUUUGGCCGGAUUUCACACAGGUGUUGCAUGGCUGUCGUCAGCUCGUGUCGUGAGAUGUUGGGUUAAGUCCCGCGACGAGCGCAACCCUCAUCCUUAGUUACCAUCAGGUUAUGCUGGGGACUUUAAGGAAACUGCCAGUGAUAAACUGGAGGAAGGUGGGGAUGAUGUCAAGUCAUCAUGGCCCUUAUGGAGUGGGCUACACACGUGCUACAAUGGUGAUUACAAUGGGCUGCAAGGUCGCAAGGCUGAGCUAAUCCUAAAAAAUCAUCACAGUUCGGAUUGUUCUCCGCAACUCGAGAGCAUGAAGUUGGAAUCGCUAGUAAUCGUGGAUCAGCAUGCCACGGUGAAUACGUUCUCGGGUCUUGUACACACUGCCCGUCACGCCAUGGGAAUUGGUUUCACUCGAAGCU
rnacentral:rRNA from 1 species